GAGCGCGGGCGGUGUUUUAACUGUUAAUUUCGUAUUCGACGAAUUCGCGACGCGUCGUUCAAAAAAGAUUCUUAUUUUGUGCAGUAAUCGCGUAAAAAUUAAACUAAUCGAAAAUAUUGAUUCUCCAAUGCGGUUUAGGAAACUCACACGAGUUAUUGGCAUCAAGAUCAACAAUGGCAGGCGAGAGGGAUUUCUAUUUAAAUCGUUUCAACGUGAUCAACAUAAUGGAUGACCAUAGAAAUUUCAAAAAAAGAUGACUAAUUGUAAGUAUACUUUACAAAGAGGAAGAAAGGCAGGAUAUAAGAUUGAAACGUAACGCUCUUACAAUAAAACGAAAUAUUUUAACUGCAAACGAAUGAAAGUACAUAAGAAAAAGGUUCAAAUAUAUGUAUACUAAACAUAGGCUCGUAUUAGAAUUAGAAAAAACGUGUAGAUAGUUUCUAACGGGUAUAAAAAGUUGAAUCAAAUAAGGUAUUACAAACAAAUUUUCUAAAAGUAAUUUAAAGCACUACGUAAUUGAAUAGAAUUUUUAUACCGACAUAUUUUUGGUAUUUUUAUUUCACGAGGAAACAAAGUUAUUCAAAAAUACUGUUUCAUUGAAACAAAAAGUAGGUGUGUCCUACUCUUAUCUUUUAUCAGACAUUUCUGAUAUUUGUUUGCUCCCCUCUCUCCACCAUCCAAUAGAUAAUCUCCGAGUUAAAUUCGAUCGAUAAAAAGAAAAAGAAAAAGAAAAUUAUGAAUCACGAUAUAUCUGCAAUAAUUUUAACGACAAAAAACCUUGUAACACAUUAUUUGGGCCACCCCUUAUACAAUGUAGUACUCGUCGUCGUCCACGUGCUCUCUCAACGAAGAUAAGAUAAAAGGUGAUAUACAUUCUUUUUUCUUGUAUCUUUUUUUUUUAGUUUUCUCUUGUCUUUUUUCUUUUUUUUCUUUUUUUUUUUAACUCGCUAGAAAAAAGAACUCGUUCGUUGCAAAGCGGGAAAGGGGUCGAAGGUUGUCCACACAUUGCGAACUCGCAAAAAAAGAAGAGAAAGAGGAGCGUAUACGUUCUCUCGUAUAUAAAUGGACUUUAAUAAAGUUCAACAAAGAUUAGCUUGGAAUAGAAAAAAAGAGAGAGAGAAAAGUCGAUCGAUCUCGUAGACAUAUAUAUACAUAUAUAUAUAGAAAAAGAGAGAGAGAGAGUAUGUGUAUGAGUUUCUUGCCUAGUAAUCGACGCUCAGUACCUAUGGGAAAUACCAUGACAUCGAUCGAAACGCGUUUUCCGUUCUAGAUGUGCCGCUCCUUCGUUUGUUCGUCUAUAUGUACUUACGUUCUCAUACACUGUUCUCCUCGUAGUGGAAUUCUUCGAAAAGCUUGUGCAUUAAUCGGUACGUUUCCAUAUCUGAGAAAAAGAAAAAGAAAAAUCGAUCUCGCUCGAGACAAAUACAACAAAACGAACGAUACGUGUAACGUAAUUUCGUGGUACAUCAAAGACGAUUCAAACCUAAUUUGUUUUCAUUGUUUUAACGUCUAAUUCACUUUUUUCUUUUCUUUUUAGAGAACAAACUAACUCUUAAAUUUUAUUCCGUGAGAAAGUACGUUAUAUUUUGUGUUGCGUGCUUUUUUAAUUAUUUUAGACACGUCGGUGCGUUUCGAAGUAGAUAGGUACUAUAAAAACAAAAGAGAAGGAAAGGAAAAGGAGAGAGAGAGAGAGAAAAAGGGAAAAGAAAAUAUACUUGUUUCGACGCCUAUGCAUCCGGACGGACGUAUCGUACCACGUGUCCCACUCUCGCGUGACUGGGUACUGGAAGCACGUGGCCCCCCACUACGCCUUGCCCAGGGCCCGUCGAUCGUUCAUAAGAAAGACAGAGAGGUAUUAGGUACAUAGAAAGAGAGAGAGAGAGAGACAGACAGACAGAGAGAGAGAGAGAGAGAGAGACAGAAAAAGGAAAGAAAGGAGAUGAAAACAGGGAGGAAGCUUGAGGGAAGAAGAAAAAGGAUAGUUAGAGAAGGGAGAAAUAGAAAGAGAGAGAGAGAGAAUAUACGUUGGCUAGGAAAAGGGGUGCUUUUGUUAGAAGGAGAAAGAAAUAGUACUAGAGAGUACGAGAAGGGAAUAGGAUGGAACACGAAGCACAGGAGAUUUUGGUGGGGUCGAUAGUUGCUCGAAUUGUCGAGAAUGCUGGUCGUAUAUAAGAAAACGGAUAGCUAAGAAGUAUUUACUCGAUAUAUCAAGGUACAUUAAUCGUCUCUGUUUCUUUUUCCUUCUAACUCUCUCGCCACUUGUCUAUCUAUCUAUCUAUCUAUCUAUCUAUCUCUUUUCAAGAGAAAGAUUUCUUUGUCAUAAUUCAGCGGUGAAAGAAGAGCAAUUGGCAUUUACAAAUGACGCGAUAAACAAAUCGAAUAUUAGAAUGAAUUAAAGAAUUACUGUUUUAUAUUAUGUAGAGAUAUGCGGAUGUAUAUUUGUGUGUAUGUGUGUGUUUUGUUUUAACCAUUAGCUUCGUCACGUGUUAUUGAUAAUGUUUAAAGAAUACUGAUGUAUAAUUAGUCGGACUUGGGUAUACAUUUUUUCUCUUUCUUAAUAAAUACAUAAAUAGUACAUGCAUAGAUAUAAUCUAUUCCUCUGUACGGAAAUCGUGGAAUAUUCCUUAGCAAUUCCACGAAGGAAAAAACAUUUGAUUUGAGUUUAAUCUAAUCCGCAUUCUACUCUGCAAAUCUAACCGCACAGCUUCAACGAAUUACGACGACGACGACGACGAGGACGACGACAACCAUGAACGUACAUCCCGAUGAGUCGACUUAUCCGUUUUCGCGCGUCAGCUCUAUACUUAGAUCUUAUACGUUUAUAAAACAGGGUACAACGAUGAGCGAGAGUCUUGUACAGGUGCUAUGAAUUGAGAAUGUCAUCGGCGACAGACUUCGGCACGCGUCAGAAUGUCUUUUCGAGUAAUGACAGUAUGGCGGUUUACGCAACCGAAAGUUUCUAAUGUUAAUGGUUAAAACGGGACACGGGACUAAAAGUAGUUACACGUAGUUACAUAUCGAUUGAUUACAAAAUACAUAGUUAAACGUCAUUAGUUAGUCUUUAAAUAUGAAUACAUAUAUACAUAUAUAUUAUAAAUAGAUAAUUGUAUAAUAAGAAUGAAAUAUUCUUUCUUGAUAUCUAACAGCAUUUCUUUAAAUCUCUAUUAUUCGAUCGUUGGAUGUAUUAACAAGAAAAGUGUGAUAUUAAUUUCGUGAUAUAUCUAUAUGCAUAUGUGUUAAUCGAAAAUGAAAUGAUUCCCGAAUCGAGUUAACUAGUUUUAUAAAAAAAAAAGAAAAGAAAAGUAUUGUUUCAAGGUACAUAUAUCUAAGAUUUUUAUCAAUGUGAUUAUUUGUAAGUAAACACGAGAAGAUUGAAAUCUUAUUUACGAUAACGUCCCCGUGCAACGAAAUAAACAUGGCGCAAACGAGAAAAGAAUCGAAAUAAAGGGUGAAACCAAGGAAAGGCGUCCACGUAUGUAACUUACAUAGAUGGUUACAUGUACGUAUGUAUACAUACAUAGUUACUUAGAUGCUUACGUAAGCACGUACGUAGAUAAGAAAGCACGUUUAUUCGAGAAACGACGUGUUUGAAGUUAGCUUACUCGGCAAGAGUACGAAUCGAAUAGGAUUCGCAUUACGUUUUCUUUUUUCUUCUUUUACUUCUUCUUCUUCUUCUUCUUCUUCUUCUUCAAGAAAAAAGAGAAAGAGAGAGAAACAAGAAGAAUCAUUUCGAACAUUUUCGAAACACACGUCGUAAUAUUUAAUCAUUGCCGUGGUUACGAUACUCGUAAUCGUGGGUCAGAAUUGCGGAAGUGAUUAUCGACGGCCGCGAAAAAAACAUGACGGUGGAACGAUCCGCGUUCAAGGUUCGCGAGUGCAUGUGUAUUUCUGUUGAAGAACUUCUAGACAGUUUAGCCUAUAGCGAAUGUUAUUACAUAACCUAUUGACCUUUAUCGCGUUCGCGUUAGAAUAUUUACUGCGGUGAUAACCGAGAGAGGUAAAUCCUUUUAGACAGUGCGCGAGAAAUAUGAAAAUAUGAAAGAAAUAUUACACAGUGACGAAUUCCAAAAUGACAAGUUACAACUUAGAGUUUAUAUUUUUUAUCAUGAUUUUCGAUUGCUUCGCAAGAGGUAAUUCAUUGUCGAGUGUCUUAUAUCACAUCGGUGAUACAAGAAAUUUUAAUGAAUCAUUAGGUUUCAAUGAAAAGAGUGUAUAAAUAUUUGGUCAAAUGUUGCCUUUCGGAUAUAUAUCUACGUACAGGCCUAUCAGAUAUAUUUUAGUAUCGUUUCACAUCUAUUACUGUUUGAUGUUUUCAAUCGACGCGUCGAAAGAAGCCGCAGGAUCAUUUGGACGAUCCAAUAUAAAAGAAAAACGAAAGAGAAAAGUAGCUUCGAUCAUAAAGUUACUAAUCGAUAUCGUUGACUCGAUACGAACUUUCAAUUCCUUUUCUUUCAACUUUUUAUUCGAUUGGAUCAAACAAGGGACGAAAGGUGUGGUUAAGAGAUUAAGGCAUUGGCGAUUUCCUGGCGAAUUCGAGAAAUAGGCCGUGAUAGUAGCGUGCACGCGCGCGCGCACACUCUGCUGCCAACGGCAGUAACAGUAACAGUAAUAGCAACAGCAGCAGUAGCAGCAGUAGCAGCAGCAGUAGCAGCAGCAGCAGCUAGCAGGAGGUAGGUCGAUCCAAUUGGGGUUCGGAUAGCAGCUCAGCAGCGCGAUACCCUCUCCCCUCUGGAGUUUCCGUGGCGAUCAAUACCUACGGUGCCAAAGCCGAGCCAGACUCUGCCGAUUUUCCACGAGGAACAAACAAAUAGGAAAAGAAGAAGGAGAAGAAGAAAAAAAUUAAGAAAGAUCGAUGAAAAAAUAAUUGAUCCAAUUGCAUGCUUAAUUAAUAAAUCGUCAAUAAUUUACGAUCAUCCAAUCCCAAUGGAAAAUUUAAACAGUCUCCUUUUUCCUUCUUGCUCGGUUUUUCAUUGACAAAAUCAAAGUUACAAAUUGGGAUAAUUGGAUCGAAGUCAUGAAUCAGUGCUUGUGUGUGCGUGCGCGUGCGUGUGCUUGCGCGUGUCGAUCGUGACGAUAAAAACAGUGUUAAAAGGUAAAAAGAAAAUCGAAUACGCUUGGUUUCCGUCGAUACACGUUGGUUUUUCCCCUAAGCAACCGGAUCCACGCGUCUCCGUCUUGCGCACGCGUUGCGACAGCGCGUAAUUACGUCACGCGAUCGAACCUUCGUCGCUACGCGCGUUUACAUGUUUGAAAUCCCGCUAAGAAAAGAGAAGAGAAGGAAGAUGGAAGAGUACGUACGUAUAUAUGUAUGUAUGUAUGUAUGUAUGUAACGAAAGAGAGUGGCUUUCACAAUAAUCUUUUUUUUCUUCUUCGUUUUGUAUCAUAGACGCAACACAGCUAAGUCUUUUCUCUCGCCUACACGUAUUUAAAAACACUUAACAUUUCGAUUAGGCCAUCGGCGUGAUUUCGAAAAUAGUACGUCGCAUAAAUUAGUCUCCGAAUACAUAAAGUCGAAACAUCUGUUUUGUUUUAAGAACCAAGAUGGUCGUUCUUACUCGCAAAUGAAAGAUUUUAUUGGCAUAGGGAAUGAUCUCCUUUUCUCUCUCUCUCUCUCUCUCUCUCUCUCUCUCUCUCUCUCUCUCUCUCUCUCUCUCUCUAUACAGACAACUCGAUCGAUCUAGAACUAACAAUAAGUCCGACUACACGGUUGGAAGGAGAAGAUCCAACAUGGAUUCUGGUAAGGUCGUUGCUGAAGCGAGCAAACGGGUAUAGCCUACUCGCGGAUACUUAGAAACGCGCUUAGAAACCACGAGAGAACAUAGAUAGAGGCUUGAGAGAAGAGAAGAGAAGAGAAGAGAAGAGAAGAGAAGAGAAGAGAAGAGAAGAGAAGAGAAGAGAAGAGAAGAGAGAGAGACAUAUAUACAUAAGCUUGGAGUGUUAGCAGAGCCGUAGAGGGGGAGGAACAAAGAAAGAGUCCUAGCGACCAGCAAUGCGGCACCGGUGAGCGCCUGCGCGCCUCGCUAUGUGAGUCAAGGACGACACGUGCAGCUCGGAACGACCUACUUAUAUUCCCGUAGCUUCGCGCACAAUCGGUGCCGGCACGAACUUUCCCGAGCGCGGAAAUAGGACGACCGACGGUGGAGUCGGUGGAGUCCUAAUAUUUCACAGCGAUCACCUCCGCCUCCGCCUCCACCUUCGCCUCCACCUUAUUCUCCUCCUCCUUCUCCACCUCUUCCUCCUCCCCUUGCUUCUCCUCCUCAUCCUUUUUCUUCUUCCUCUACUUCGUCUUCUGGAUUCUAUACGACUAAGCAAUAGCAGCAAGCGUUGGCAUUCGAUCUUCCCAGCAGUAGUAAACUAUAAUGUGCGGAUCGUUCCUGGUGAUUCCUCAGGAAGCUUUACAUUCUUGUGAACCAGGAAGUAGCCGAGCAAACUUCCGGUCUCUCGUGAAUCUCUUUCGGACAUGUUCGCGAUCUUUCGUUGUCUAUUUUUCUCUCUCUCUCUCUAUGUGUCGGUAUGUGUGUGUUUGUGUACGUGUGUGAUCGAGAUCCAUGUUACGUAAGUUAGAAUGUUAGAAGAAAAAGAAGGAAAGAAAAGAAAAACGUCCGCUCGUUAGAUUCUCGUAGGAGCUUCGAUUCGCGUCAUCGAAGACGCGAUAAGAGGGAGAAACGUUUGUAGAGAGAUAGAAAGGAGGGGCGGGCGGGGUGGGAGGGGGAGGGGAAAGAGUUAAAACUCAAAGAAAAAGCAGGACGAGCGUGGGGUUGGCUAGAAUAGAGAAUAGAGAAGAGGAAUAUAGGAAUCGCGAUGGGGGAGGGUGGGGAGGAUUCGAAAGAGAGUUUCGACGGCAGGAGGCAUCGCGCGCAGUGUCCUAGAUGCAGAAACGGCAGGAUCGAUAGAAAAAUGGGUCAAACAUUCGAGUAGCAUUCGGUUGACGAGAACCAACGGCAGUCUGGCGAUCGCGCUCGAGACGAUCGCUCCGCUCCGUUAAAAUUCACUCUCUCUCUCUCUCUCUCUCUCCUCUCUCACUCUCACUCUCUCUCUCUCUCUCUCUCUCUCUCUCUCUCUCUCUCUCUCUCUGUGUCUCUAUCAGACGGAAACAGGUGACCGUCGUAGGACGUUGAAACGAGUUUGUGAAUCGUCGUUUGAAAUCAAAUUGAAUCGCCGAUAGUUACUAUUCUCGUGCGAAUUAAUUCCGUCGUAAUUAAAGAGACCACGACGAAAGAAGAAGGACGAAAUGGAAAGAAAGAUCGCAAAAUUCGUAGUCGUUCGUUAUACGCGGGGGGGCUUCCUAACUAAAAAGUAGAAAGGUUUGAGUCUUUGUGGAUUGGCGCGCUCGAGGCGACGUUGUUGGCUUGUCGCGCGUCGUUUAAGCGCUUCCUUCCCCGCCAUGAGAGCAUAAGUAGCGCGUUUCCGCACGCGGUACGGCCAGUUCUCGUUCGACCUUAUCGCCGCGAGCUCGGCACGGGCUUCUUGUUUCUCCUUGGCGGGCUGCUGCCCCACCCUACGGUGUUGUAGUCCCACCCUCUCUCUCUCUCUCUGUAUUCUCUCUCUUUCUCUUCCCCGUUCCUCCCUCUUGCUCGACCCUAUCCCUCUAUCCCCCACCCCCGUAUUCGGACCCCCUCUCCUCCCUCUCGCCUCCCCUCCUUUCAUCUCUCCCACCUACGGUGACACUCGAAGGAAGCGCGCGUGCUCGUCGCGCGCGCCCAACUCGACCAAUCGCGAAGCGAGUAGCAACGGUUCUCGACCAACGAAACUCGACCGCGGAUCCGUGCGAGUGCGCGCUUGCGAUCUCGUAGUUUCUCUCACCGGAUGCCGCGAGCGCGCGCUCAUCGUGGUGGGGAUAAAGCUGAGAGAGCGGCACGGGCUUCGCGCUCGAGCGCAUCCUCGUUCGUCGUUGCUCGCCCUCGGGGUCGGUCGCGUUCCGCGAGACUCUCUCUCUAUCUCUCUCUCUCUCUUUAUCUAUCUAUCUCUCUCUUUCUCUCUCUCUCCCUUUUUCCCUCUUUCCCUAUUUUCCUCUCAUAUUCCUUGUCCUUUAUUCCUUAUUUCAUUCCUUUUACUACCUUCCCUUUUUUCCCUCUAUUGUUAACGUAAUUUUACCUUCUACGUUCCAUACUACGUUCGUUCGAUCCUUCGUUCGUACGCUCGCUCGUUCGUUCGCUCGCUCGCUCGCUCGUUCGCUCGUUCGCUCGUUUAUUCGACGUCCGAUAACGUCGACGGCCAUCAUGGUGUGUCCAACUCAGUUCGCGACAUUUCUUUUUUACCUUCACCUUUCGGAAAAGCUCCUUCUUCCUCCUCCUCUUCCUCUUCUUCUUCUUCUUCUUCAUCAUCGUCGUCGUGAUCAUCACCAUCAUCAUCAUCAUCAUCGCAGUCAUCGUCAUCGUUCUUUUACAUUCCCUUAUAUUUCAAUAAUUUUCGAUACGUCUCUUUUACUGUGUCGCCCGCAGCUAAAACAACGACGACGAUGACGACGACGACGUGACCGGAAACUCGCAACAACUUCGACUCGUUCGACCUCUCUUUCUCUCGAUCGUGCGAAAGCAGCGAUUAUUAUAUUCGCGAUUAAUUCCCUUUUCGUGUUUUAUCUUCUUUUUCUACAGAAAAAACAAAGGAAAAGAAAAGAAAAAAGAAAGGAUUAACUUCCGCAUUCUGGAAUCCGCUACUGCUAACGCGUCCGGGAUUUCUCGUCAUCGAGAGAUAUCGAAAGUGGGUCACCGGUUCUUCUUCCGCUUUCGCACGCUUUCGUUCUUUCGUCGAUCGAGUUGCCGUUUGAUAUAAUAUUUAAUUCGAUUCUUUUUUUGUCUUUUUUUUCUUGUAUUUCUUUUGUCCGUUUUUCUUUUUUUUUUUUUAAUAUUGCCUUUCCUUUUUUUCGUUCUUUUAAUUUACACGCAAAAGAAGAGAAGAGAUACGAUCGUGUGAAAAAGUGAGUACGAGUUGGAAGUUCUUGCCGUGCGAGAAGAGACGAAUGUAAUAGUAAUAAUAAUAAUAAUAAUAAUCAUAAUCAUAAUAAUAAUAACAAUAAUUAUAAUUAUAAUAAUAAUAAUCAUAAUAAUAAAAAGGAAGGUAUCGAAAGGGGAAGAGACAGUUGCAAGAGGAGAAAAAGGGGUUUGCACGCGAGGGGUUCGAGACCCUUUGUGUGAACGGAAAAAAGGUUGAAGAAGAAGAAGAAGAAGAAGAAGAAGAAGUAGAAGUAGAAGAGAAAGAAAAAGAAGAAGGAGCAAGUGAAAGGAAGAGAGAAGAAAAAUAAAAAGGGAGGAGAAAUAAGGGAAAAAAUAAAAGCAUCAGAAAGAAAGAAAAAAAAAAGAAAAGAAAAAAGAAAGAAAAGAAGAAAGAAAAAAAAGAAAGAAAAAAAGAAAGAAAGAAAGAAAGGGAAACCAUCGACAAUCCCACGUCGUGGUAACUUCGUGUCCGUGCCUUCUGGUCUCUUAGUGGGUAAAGAUGGCGGUCUUGUCGCUCGUUGGUUCGUUCGGCGAGUGGUAAGAGGGGAAAAUGUGACGCAACCCAUCAUCACGUGAUCGAACCGUGGCUGGCCUCUCUCGCUGGGCCAGUGUGUGAUCUAACGUUUGUUACGACGGUCGGUCGUGGAUCGAUAGGACCAAAAUAUAUAAGUAUAUAGGGAGAAAGAGUAUAGCUCGAAUAAGACAAUGGUGCUUGGGAGUGCGAAAUAAUGGAAAAAAAAAGGGGAAGAAAUGAACGUGGAGACUGGCCAACGUUAUCCGUCCUUCUCUGUUCCACGUCGAUGCCGCGAGACAUAACGGACGUCUUCUUAACCCGCGUACGGACAUACGCACGCACACGUACACGCAGGGGGUGUUCCAACCGUCGACUCUCGGUCGCUGGGUCAGUGGGGGUGAGAAACUGGCUUGGCUCUGCGUAACGACAGUCAGUCUUUUUCUCUCUCCUAUCGGCCUCGCGAAUUAGCUCUCUUUCUCUUUCUUUCCUUCUACUUGUUUAACUAUCUGUCCAUCUAUUUUUCUGUCUAUCUAUCUAUCUAUCUAUCUAUCUAUCUAUCUGCUUGUCUGUCUAUUUGUCUGUCUAUUUAACUAUCCAUCCAUUUAUCUAUCUAUCUAUCUAUCUAUCUGUCUGUCUGUCUGUCUGUCUGUCUCUCUCUCUCUCUCUCUCUCUCUCUCUAGACGGAAAUGAUGUCACUCUCUCUUCGUCUCUCCAAAAAAAUAACUCUCUUCGGAGCCAACGUAAGAAUCUUAAAAAUUGGGAAAUUGGUGCCCGAUUUUUAUUCCCAAAGAUACGGACGAAAGUUGUUAUAGGUGUUCUCGGACUCAGCAGUGAGAGCCGUGUUCCCCCAGCUGUAACGUGCUUUGUUUAGUGGCUCUGGGAUCAUGGAAGACACUGCGCGAGUACCGAACGUUCUGCGAUAUAGUACGAAUUCUUUAUCCUUCUAAGAUCAUGGACUCUUGAGAGUUUCCUUGAUGAUUAAGAAAAAAUGAAAAAAAAAAGAAAGAAAGAAAAGAAAAAAGAGCAAGAUUUCGAGAUCGUCAUAAAUACUUGGUCGUUGAUGUUACGUGCCUCACGACGCAGGACGUUUCAUCGAUUAGAUUUCUCGUAAUCAUUCUUUAUGUCUUGCAAUCGAAAUUUCAUACGUGUGAUAUGAGAAACUGAAAAUGUAUAUAUAUUUAUCUAUUCGUGAGCAAACGUAUACGUGAUUAAAUCAAAGUCCAACGAUUGAAAAUUCUUGGUGUCGUUAGCAAUAUUGCACCUGCCGCACGAAAUAUUGCCGAUGGCUCGAAACAACGGCACAGCAACAGCACCGAGCAAGAACGAACCGCUUUUGCUGGUAUUAUAAUCGCCGUUGCAAGAUCCCCGACUAAGUCGCCGUUCACCUCGACCAUUUUAUACUUUCUAAAGCCGCUUACUUUCGUAACUUGGCAAAUACCGUGGUGGCCUCGUUGUAUCUACCAUUGCCGAGUUCUACACAGUUAGCAUUUAUAUGUGUGUCCAAGUUGAAGUUUUCUUUCCCUUACUCUCUAACAUACAGUAAUUAGAUGCGUAGUACGUAUGCGUACGAAGAAUUAAUUCUUUCGUUUUUUUUGUAUUUGUAAAAAAUGUUUUCUAUUUUUUCUUCUUCGUUUUUCCUUUUUUUUUUUUUAUUCAUAGGAAAUCUCCAGUCACGUUGCGUCGUUAUUAAGUUUGUCCUCGAACGAUAGAUCAUCUACGCUUAUUCAUAUCUCUUGCGCAAUGAUUAUUGCGCUGUUAUAAUCUCACUUCGUAAAGUAUAUAUGUACGUUUGAAGAAUUCAUUUCUUCAAGAGGUAAUUACAAUUAAAACGAUGAUUGUCAGAGGAGAGGAGGAAGAGGAAAAGGAAGAAGAAGAUAUCUACGUAAUUUUGUACAAUUCCGAGAAUAAUUGCGGUAGUUUAUAAUCGACGAUAUAGUAAACGCUUUUAAGAUAACGGUCAUAUAAAAGUUACUUUAUAUGAAAGUAAUAAAUGAUAAAAGAAUUGAUAACGAUCAAUGUGGCAGGUAAUUUUAUCUCGAUAGAAAAAGAGGGAGAAAAAGAGAGAGAGAUGAGAGACUAACAGGACUAUGGAGGUAAGUUUGGAAAGUUACGGUUCGUCGUGAAUAAAAAAAAUCGAACGAGGCGGAGAGAAAGAUACGAGUGUGUAUGUACCUACAUAAGAAAUAGAGAGAGAGAGAGAGAGAGAAGGUGUAUACGAGUAGAAAAGGGAAGUGGGACUAGCUUGCCUUGUACUACUUUCUUGCACAGUUACAGGAACAGCGAUAGGCAUCGACUCUUAGCGCAAGAACUUACUUAGAUAUAAACUCUAAGAUGAAUCGAAUUGAUCUACGACGCUUAUAUAUUUUCAUAUCAAAACUUGGAAAUAUUAAAAAGAAAGGAAAGACAAAAUAUAUAAAAAUAUAAGUCAACGAAUUGAAUAAUAGAUACCAGUUAAAAUUACUUUUUGAAAGCAUCAUUUUUUUAUAUAUUUAGAAAACGAUAGAAUUCAUUAUUGAUAUAUAUAUAUAUGUAUAUAAUGUAUACAUAAUCGUUUGAAUCCUAUUAAUUCCAAUCACGUUUAAUCUCUUAACAAGCUUAAUUGUACUCCGUUUAAUAAUCCAAUAAUCCACGUAUAACGUUUGCGACUUAACCGUAGAGUAUUCUUAUACUUAAAACAAAAAAUGUAAUGCGUUAAACGUUUCUUAGAUAUAUAUGUAUAUAUAUUACAUACACACGCGAUAUGUAAGUAGAAUUACAUUCGUGAUCUUUGCCGAACGAAUGAACGAACGAACGCGCGCGGGUGGCCUAGCGCCAUUUUAUAGAAGGCCUCGCUUUGCGGCCAUCUUUCGCGUAACAACUCCAAAUGUUUCCGCCUUCGUUCGUUUCAGCUUGCGUCUCUACGCUCUUCACCACGUACAUAUGUAGUAGAUUUCGUUUUAUCCGGCAUGUCUAAUUUUACACGGUGACCUCGAAACCGUACUUCGUCCUACCCACGUUCCCCUCCUCGUACUUGAAAAUGAAAGAAAAAAAAAAGAAAAAAGAAUAUAAAACGAAAUGAAUGAAGAAUCUCUUCGGAAAGAGGAGAGUAAGAGAGAGAGAGAGAGAAAAUAUAUAAGUAUAACCGACAUUUGAUAAAACUGUGUAUAAGAUUGUUGAAAUAAAUCAAUUUUUACUCGUGUUUCAUGUCAACUUUGAAUUUUUCUCUUCCUUGUCUAGAUUUACACAAACGACCUUUCUUCAUUCAUGUUUUACCAAGUCAAACGUUUAUUUAUCUUCAGCUUCAUCCGGUUGCACGUUGCAAGGUCAUCAUACACUUCCGCCUACUUGAUAUAAUAAUCGAGUAUAAACGUGAACAUAUUUUGUAAGAACAUCUAAAUUCAUUAAUCAUUUUGAACGCAAUAAAACUCCGAUUUUACCACCAAUAUAUUAUCGAUACCAGAACUCAGCGAUUUGUUCUUUUUCUUCGCAACGAAAUGACUACUCGCGAUCCGUUUUUUUUCUUUCCUUGUAAGAAAAUAUUCAAAGCGCCUCCCUUACGAGAUAUCUCCUUUUUCUUUCUUUCUUUCUUUCACAUUUAUCAAACGGGAGAUAAGUUCGUCGGUUCAAGGUUAAAGGUUUCACCUGCCUAAUGGUAGAAGAGUAAAGAGGAAGAGGGACGACGGAGUAUGGUCGAUUUCGUUUUUUUGGGGUGAGAUUGUAGGCGUCGACGCCAAUGCCGUGGAUGACAUCAUUGCGAAACGGUCGUUUCGUUCGUGGAGCCGUGUUGGUGGAGGAUGACGAUGAAGAAGAGGAGAAAGAGGAGAAGGAGGAGAAGGAGGAGGAGGAGGACGAAGAGGAGGAGUGGUAAAGUCUGCGGAUGAUUCGUGAGGGGUGAAGAGAGCCGGGAGGCCUUGCGAGAACUAUGCGAAAAGAGGAAGAGGAUGGGUCGAGGGGGGAAUGAGAUGCGCACACGAUGACUAGAAAGAGAAGGAGAGAAGAAGGGGGUAAGGGAGGAAGCACGUAUAUAUCCGUGUAUACGUGUAUGCGUUUGUUGCGCGAUUGCGCGUACCUAACCAGCGAAGCAAGCUUACACACGUGUGUGUAAGGAAAGGUGAUGGAAGCGAGAAAGACGAGAUUGUAGAUGGGAGAGAAGAGGAGAGAGGUGGAAAAGGGGGAAGAGAGCAUGAUAUAAGCAUGCCGCGGUCAAUCCGCGUAGUGGGGCGAAGCGGGCAACCAGGCCUUGAAGAAGGAAAAGAGAACAAAAGCGCACGCUCUGCGACUAUGCGCUGCGUAGCGCGCGCUUCUGUGAGAGAGAGAGAGAGAUCUCCGCGAGAGCUCGGAGGAAGAGCAAGAGAACGAUGGAUGCCUGAACGGAAUAUUCCGUUCGGAGGGUGGAACGUUUCUCUCGCUUGUGUAGUAGAGAAUUAUAUCAUAGUGGUAGUGAACGUAGAAGAGGAAGAAGAAUAAGAAACAUUGCGACGCAAAGGCCAAGCAGGACGUUCAUCGUAGUUGUCGUUGUCGUAGUCGUAGUCGUCGUCGUCGUCGUCGUCGUCGUCGUCGUCGUCAUAGUUGUCGUGGUUAUCGCUGAACGUACGUAUGUACGUACAUACAAUGCGUAUCUACAACACAGCAACGAGAACGUUCGUACUACGCGUAGAACAGGCCGCGUUGCGUAACCGCGACGAUAUCAAUUAUUAAGCACAGCCUUCGCUUCGAACUAGGCGAGAACUUCAACACCAGUGGCGACUUUCUGGCCACGUUUUGUGAUUCCUAAAUUCGAUUAUGUAUUCUUUUCGAUUUCUUCUCAAGAGGCCAUUUUUCUCUGUCUUUUUUUUUUCUUUUCUUUUUUUCUUUCUCUCUUUUUUUAACUCUGCAAACGAUCGCUCGCUCGCUCGUUCGUUAAUUCGUCCUCGCACGAUCCAUCCUCUGGGUAUUCUCUCUUUAUUUUGUUCUCUUUUUCCUUCUAUUUUUUUUCCUUUUUCUUCUUUUAACUUUUUAUCAGUAGAUUCACGCUUUUCCGCACCGCAUCGCACGCUAUCGCGCUGCAUUAACCCGCAAAGCCGGACGACAACGCUGCUACGUCGACACCGCAAGCUAUCGCGGUUUUAUUCUUUCUUUCCUUUCUUACAUACGAAUUUAGAAUCGUAAACUUGCCGAGAUAAAAACUAUGUACGAGAAGGAAGUUUGACGGAACGAUUAUGUCGUAGAGGAAAAGGAAAAAGAAGAAGAAGAAAGAGAGGAUACGACGAUAGUCUUGAACGAUAACAGCAACGAGAAUCAAAGUCACGUGGACGUUGAGGAGGGCUUUGAAAGAUCAUACAUAUAUGCAGAUAGAUAAUUGAAAGUUCUCAAAGAUCUCCGAUGUUAAUCUUUCAUCUUUGAUCGUUCCAUCUUUCCUAAAUUCCGAAAGAGAAAUGAUGUUUAUUUUAUUUCGAAGAGUAUUAAAGGCUUAAGAGUAGGAAAAUCUCGAAAAAGGUAGAAAGGAGGAUGUAAAGCGAAAAGUGGUAUUCGUAAAGACGAGGGCGGAACGUUAAAAGGGAAGGAAGCAGAAAAGAUGGAAGUGUAAGUGGUAGGGAUGGGUUUACGAUGCGGAUUCAUAAUCCGCUUCUUUACCGAAAAACCCACCCUAACUUUCACCCUCGCACCAUUCCGAGACGUGGCACUUCCAAAGAUGGCUGCCAUGGCAGGAGGUCAGCGGGUGUGCGCUUAGACCACGCCCUACGACGCGUCGCAGGCAAACCAAACGAAGCUUUCUAAAGGCGAUUAGUUCGCGGUGGAUCCGAGUGGAGGCCGUGCGAAGCGAAGCCGACGAUGUUGACGCGUCAAGGGCGCUUCAAGGACGAAGAGCGCUCCUCUUUUAGGAAGGACGCGCGCGCACACUCCCGCAAUCUUUCUCUUUCUCUGUCUCUCUCUCUGUCUCUUCUUUUCUCUCUCUCUUUCUCUCUCUCUCUCUCUUUUCGUCUCCCUUCUUCCCGGAAAUCUUCUUCCCUUCCUAUCGUCCGCCAUUCUUCUAGGGUCCCUAGAGGCAACGCCGCACCCUACAGCCUUUCUUCUAUAUUCCAAAAAUAUCGACGUGACUUUCCAACGCCAAAAUUCAACUAAUUUUGUACUUUUCUUUCUCUCCCGCUUUUUGUUUUUUUUUUUUUUCCUUUUACGCUUAAGGAAUAUCUCUACGUUUUAUUCGAUGAUCAAUUUGUAUUCCAACGUCGGAACGUCGAGCAAAACAAUUCUAUAUCUAUCUGCUAUUAGAUACAUAUAAAUAGUAGAUGUAACAAAAUCAAUGCGAUAAGUGAUUUAAUCGUCCGAUACGCAUUUGGCAACUCUCCCUUAUUACUUAUAACAUUUGACGCAACGAUCAAAGGUUGAGUCUAAACAUUAAAGAUACGAUAACAACAUGGUAAUUAUUUUCGAUCUUAAUAAUUUAUUGGAAUGCAUGUAAGAAAUAUUGAAAAUUAUGCGUGAAUUAUGUGACGAAUGAUAAAGUUACUCAAACAAUGUAUAAAUACUUGUGUAUAUUAUAACGCACGAUUUUCUUUCUCUGUCUGUCUCUGUCUCUGCCUUUCUCGCUUUCUCUCUCUUGACCACCCUUUUGAUAAACCAAAUGUACAUGACGUAUAUGACGCAGAAACGAGCGUGUUUCCAACUAAUCUAUUAACUCGGUGACGCCUCUGAUCGUUAUUUCACACGCACGUUUCUCUUCGUACACCUCGCCUCGCCCCGAUGAAAUCAUCCUAUUUGGAUCUUACAAACGAUUAAUCCUAGUGGCAUGAUUCUUCGAAGUCAAGGAAGCUCUUAACGUAAUCAUAAAUAAUUACCGUGAAUACCGUAGUUAAAAAUCAGCAUAAAACAAGUAUUCUUUGUUAUGGGAAACGAAGAAAGUUGCGAGCAGCAGUCAUAAAUAAUUACUCCAUCAAAUAUCCCAAUUAACGCAUUGAUCGUCAAACUAAUUCUACAUGAAACAAUAUACUCAUAUAUUAACACGUCUAAAUUUUUGAACAUGAAACACACAAGAGAUUUCAUUGUUACAAUAUCCACAAUAGAUGUUACCCUUUAACAAGGGGUAAAUUCAUAAUGAAAGAUAUACGUACUUAUAAUCGUUAACAACGUUUGAAAUAAAUAAUCCGUAAAAUUAAAUGCCAAUAACAGAUAAUCCGCCAUGCAUCUCAAUCAAUGUAUUAAUUAACCUAUCAUUAAUUAAAAUCAUUCCAAUCAAUAGAUAGAUGUACAAAUAUCAUGAUUGAAUAGUUAACCAUUUCCUUGAGAAACGAAAGAGAUAGGACGAUAUAGAGAAACGAUAUUAGAAUUACUCCAUUAUAUCGAUGACGUAUUCGAACUGUUGGCGGCUGUUUGUGAAAAGUAAGUACUACGAAGUUCGACGAGAGAAAGAAAGAGAAAGAGAGAGAGAAACGAAUGUUGCCACGAGCCGUGAGAAGCAUGGCGCUUUUAGAAGGGGCCGGGGUGAUGCUGCGAAGAAGGAAGAGGCAGGAGUUAGGGAAGUGGAGGAGGAAAGGGAGGAAGAAGAGGAGAAUGUAGAAGAAGAAGAAGAAGAAGAAGAAGAAGAAGAAGAAGAAAUAGAAGGAGGAGGAGAAGCGGAGGAUGGUAUUUCCGCUGUUGCAUUGCCUAUCCAUUUGGCAGGUUUGGCUGAGGGCAUGCGCACAACAUGUGCCCACCUACCUACUUACCUAUCUGUCCGUUCGUUUCUCGACCGCUUACCUGCUCGCUUGCCUGCCUUCUUUCCUGCCUGCUUGCCUGCCUGCUUGUCUGCCUGCUUGCUUGCUAGCUUGCUAGCUUGCUCGCUCGCUCGCUCGCUUGCUUGCUUGCUUGCUUGCUUGCUUGCUUGCUUACUUGGCCGCUUGCUUGACUGCUCGCCUGCCUACCGGUUUGCCUUGAUCCCUUGAAUAGCCACAUACAUAUACAUACGCACACAGUAGGUGGGUUGGUAGGUAGGUAGGUACGUCUUUCUUACGUAAGCGCCCGUGAGAGAGCGAGUUAUUACCACAGGGACGUCAAUAUGAGAAAGAGAGAGAGGAGAGACAGAUAAGGGGGAGAGAGACAGAGAGAGAAAGAGAGAGAGAGACCAACGGAUCCGGUACAAGGGACGUUCGAAUUUGACCCGUAGAUCGACUCGUUUUUAACCCUUCGUCAUCAUCAUGAUCUCUUGUCUUUUUUCCCUCCACUCUAUUUUUUUUCUUCUUCUUCUUCGUUUCAUUUCUUUUUUUGUUUUAUUCUAUUUUAUUCUAUUUUAUUUUUUUUUCAUUCUUCGCAGAAAGGACCUCCAAUUAUAUUUUCCAAAUCCUUGUUUUUUAUCUUCUUCUUCUUCUCCUCUUUUUUUUUCUUUCCUUUUUUUUUGGAAGUAUUACGUCAGAGUUAUGCUCUAUAGUUAUGUAAAUUUAUUAAAAAUAUGUAGGUAUGCUGCGUUCGUUCGAUUGAUCGAAAUACGUGCGAUAAAUAAUACGAUGACAGAGUAUGAUACGUCGAGUAUUAUU